CACGUAGGGGGCAAGCGUUGUCCGGAUUUAUUGGGCGUAAAGAGCUCGUAGGCGGUUCGGUAAGUCGGGUGUAAAACCUCCAGGCUCAACCUGGAGACGCCACCCGAUACUGCUGUGACUAGAGUCCGGUAGGGGAGCGUGGAAUUCCUGGUGUAGCGGUGAAAUGCGCAGAUAUCAGGAGGAACACCAGCGGCGAAGGCGGCGCUCUGGGCCGGAACUGACGCUGAGGAGCGAAAGCGUGGGUAGCAAACAGG
rnacentral:rRNA from 1 species